GACAGAGGUCCCGAGCGUUAGGCGGAAUCACUGGGCUUAAAGCGUGUGUAGGCGGAUCGUUAAGUGCCUUGUGAAAUCCCAUGGCUUAACCAUGGAACUGCUUGGCAUACUGGCGAUCUUGAGCCACUUAGGGGCAACCGGAACAAAUGGUGGAGCGGUGAAAUGCGUAGAGAUUGGAAAGAACACCGAUGGCGAAGGCACUUUACUGGGCUAUUACUAACACUCAGAGACGAAAGCUAGGGUAGCAAAUGGG
rnacentral:rRNA from 1 species